rnacentral:rRNA from 1 species
UGGGGAAUAUUGCGCAAUGGGGGAAACCCUGACGCAGCAACGCCGCGUGCGGGAUGAAGGCCUUCGGGUUGUAAACCGCUUUCAGCAGGGAAGAUAAUGACGGUACCCUGUGAGGAAGCCCCGGCUAACUACGUGCCAGCAGCCGCGGUAAUACGUAGGGGGCUAGCGUUAUCCGGAUUUACUGGGCGUAAAGGGUGCGUAGGUGGUCUUUCAAGUCGGUGGUUAAAGGCUACGGCUCAACCGUAGUUAGCCUCCGAAACUGGAAGACUUGAGUGCAGGAGAGGAAAGUGGAAUUCCCAGAGUAGCGGUGAAAUGCGUAGAUAUAGGGAGGAACACCAGUAGCGAAGGCGGCUUUCUGGACUGCAACUGACACUGAGGCACGAAAGCGUGGGUAGCAAACAGG